CGGGACUUACCUAGCUUGCUUAGUAAGUUUAGUGGCGGACGGGUGAGUAACACGUGAGCAACCUGCCCAGAAGAAAGGGAUAGCUCGGGGAAACUCGAAUUAAUACCAUAUGUGAUCCUGUGAUGCAUAUCACGGGAAUGAAAGGUGCCUUCGGGUGCCGCUUCUGGAUGGGCUCGCGGCCUAUCAGCUUGAUGGUGAGGUAACGGCUCACCAUGGCAUUGACGGGUAGCUGGUCUGAGAGGACGACCAGUCACACUGGAACUGAGACACGGUCCAGACACCUACGGGUGGCAGCAGUCGAGAAUCAUUCGCAAUGGACGAAAGUCUGACGGUGCGACGCCGCGUGGAGGAUGACGGUCUUCGGAUUGUAAACUCCUGUCAUCGAAGAGUAAGGUUUGCAGGUUAAUACCCUGUAAAAUUGAUAGUAUUCGAAGAGGAAGGGACGGCUAACUUCGUGCCAGCAGCCGCGGUAAUACGAAGGUCCCAAGCGUUGUUCGGAAUCACUGGGCGUAAAGGGAGCGUAGGCGGUGAGGUAAGUCAGAUGUGAAAUUCCAGGGCUCAACCCUGGAACUGCAUCCGAUACUGCCUCACUUGAGUAGUGGAGGGGCAUCUGGAAUUCACGGUGUAGCAGUGAAAUGCGUAGAGAUCGUGAGGAACACUAGUGGCGAAGGCGAGAUGCUGGACACUUACUGACGCUGAGGCUCGAAGGCCAGGGUAGCGAAAGGGAUUAGAUACCCCUGUAGUCCUGGCAGUAAACGGUGCACGUUUGGUGUGAGAAGGUUCGACCCUUUUCGUGCCGGAG
rnacentral:rRNA from 4 species